rnacentral:rRNA from 1 species
ACUCAAAGGAAUAGACGGGGACCCGCACAAGCGGUGGAACAUGUGGUUUAAUUCGAAGCAACGCGAAGAACCUUACCAGGACUUGACAUCUAAGGAAUCUCUGUGAAAGCAGGGAGUGCCCCUCGGGGAGCCUUAAGACAGGUGGUGCACGGUUGUCGUCAGCUCGUGUCGUGAGAUGUUGGGUUAAGUCCCGCAACGAGCGCAACCCUCGUUAUUAGUUGCUGAUGUCGGUAUACUGGCAUUGAGCUCUCUAAUAAGACUGCCGGUGAUAAACCGGAGGAAGGUGAGGACGACGUCAAAUCAUCAUGCCCCUUACGUUCUGGGCUACACACGUGUUACAAUGGUUAGGACAACGAGCAGCCAACUCGCGAGAGUGAGCGAAUCUCUUAAACCUAAUCUCAGUUCGGAUUGUAGUCUGCAACUCGACUACAUGAAGUCGGAAUCGCUAGUAAACGCAGAUCAGCACGCUGCGUUGAAUACGUUCCCGGGUCUUGUACACACCGCCCGU